CAACUAUUUAUUCAAUUAUUUAUGAACUAAAUCAUGUUUUUUUUUUUUUUUUUACCUGGGUUACAAUCAUUUUUAUGGUGUUCCUCCGGUGUGUAAUGUGGCUCAGGUGUGUAAUGUGGCUCAGGUGUGUAGUGUUCAUCAGGUGUGUAAUGUGGCUCAGGUGUGUGAUUUGUCUCAGGUGUGUUUAAUGUGUCUCAGGUGUGUGAUGUGACUCAAGUGUGUAAUGUGCCACAGGUGUGUAGUGUUCCUCAGGUGUCGUUGUCAUUCGUAUAAUUUCGUCUUUCACAAUUCAGACUGGGAUGUCUGCAUCCUCCAGCCCCUUAAUGGUAGCAUGGGCAAGAGCGAGGAGACCGUCUAGCCCAUUGGGUGGC
ensembl:lncRNA